CCUAAUCCAAUGACUGAUGUCUUUAUGAAAUAUAGAAAUUUGGACACAGAGGCAGAUAUGAACAGAGGGAAGAUUAUGUGAUGAGAAUAGGAGAAUGCCACAAGACAAGGACACCAUGGACUAACAGCAGCUGGAAGACACAGAGAACGAUCCUCCCUGUCAGGUUUCAGAGAGAGCACUGCCUGCUGACAUCUUGAUGUUAGACUUCUAGCCUCUGAAAUGGUUCUAGAAGUCAGUAGCAUUCCUUGGCUUGUGAAAUCCUUCCUCCAUCUUCAAAUCCAAAAACAGAUAAUCUCCCUAUUUUAAGGUCAUCUGAUUAGGAACUUCAAUGCCAUCUGGAAUCUUCAUUCCCCAUUGCCCAUGUAAGAUCCAGGUCCAGCACUGACCACAGGGGAUCCAUGACCCCUUCUUCCAUCCAAGAGCACCAGUGGACACGUAUUCUGCAGCCUUCAUAGUAAGUUGUUUCUGGCAAGAGAAGGACAACAAACUGCUAAAGGAACAAGGAUAGACUCCGCUUCUUAAAUAUUGGCAAACAGGCAGCGAGGGCUGGAGACACUUUCUCAGGUCAGUACACAGACAAAACAAAAAUAUCUGAUGGACUCUCAAAUUGGUCUAGGAGCUAAACACAGCAAGCAACACUCCAGUUAAUAUAAAGAAGGCUUCCAACAGAAACCAAGAGGAGAGCAAGGAGAAAUGCACAGAACUUGCCCGUUCUGUUGAAAGACAAACUUGAGGCCUAAACUAGCUUCUAAAUGAAGGACGAGAGAACAUUUCAAUAAAUAAAUACCUACAUAAAAUAAAAUGGUAACCCUAUAAAAACAUUGAGUAACAUAAAAUUAGAAACUUUUUAUUCAACACUUUCAGGGAAGGCUCUAGAAAAGGAGCAAAAUAAUCUUCUCCGUUUUCUUAAUGCAUUUCAUGAAACAAGGAUGUUCAUGGCAUGAACGUUGAGAACGUUUGGGCAAUAGACCUUAGCAAAGAGUUGGCCAGGGAGAAAGUACAGAUGGCAAGAGAGCUGGAUUUAAUAAAGAAAGGUGAAAGACAGUGACAGAAUUUGUUACUUUUAGAAUCUUUAAAGUAAAGAACAGGACUGCUACCAGAGAAAUCAAAGCAGUGACAUUGGAGGCCGUUCGAAGAGUCAGAACAAAACAUGAAACAUGAAUGAGAACAUGGGACGUGAGCAGGAUCGACUAGAGAUCUAAGCCGUGAUAACUGGGAAAGUAAGAUAGCAGCAGGGACUAGAAGAAUUUCUUGAAGAAGAGAACUAUCUUGAGUUGAAUAAAUCCAUUAAGUACCAACAAAAGUAUAAUUAAAAUAAACUAAUAUCCAGAUAGAUCAGGUGAAAUUUUCACUUCAAGGGCAAGAAAAACAAUGCUAGAAAUAUCCAAUUUGAAAAAUGAAGAAGGUCAGUUUGAAAUACAAAUGUUGCAGACAAAUGGAAAAAAAUAUAUCAGAAUGACUUCAGUAUUCUUUUUUCUUUGAGGAGGAAAAGUUGAAAAUGGAAAAUUUUCUUCAGAAGUAAAAGCACUUGUCUCUGAUUUGGUUUCCCCUUUCCAAGUGCAGCUAAGAUUGCAAUUCUAUGCCUGUUUAAACUUCGUGUAGGUGAAGUUGUAAUGAUAAAAUGAAAAUAGGUAGUCAGGGGCCAGCCCGGUGGUGCAGCGGUUAAGUUCACACAUUCUGCUUCAGUGGCCCAGGGUUCACUGGUUCGGAUCCCAGGUGUGGACAUGGCACCUCUUGGUGAGCCAUGCUGUGGUAGGUGUCCCACAUAUAAAGGGGAGGAAGAUGGGCAUGGGUGUUAGCUCAGGGCCAGUCUUCCUCAAAAAAAAGAAAGAAAGAAAAUAGUCAGAUAGAUGAGAUAUAAAUAGAUAUCUCCUUUAAGGUAGUGCUAGUUGAAAUCCAAUGCACAUCCUACUGCUGGUCUGGGACAAUAUAAGUAUAGAAACUGAAUAUAAAUUGAGACUAUGCAUUUAGCCCUUUAAUAGCAAUUUGCCAUUGCAUGACAUCUGAGAACGCAACAGUAUAUUUUAACAAAAAUGAGUCUGCAAAAAUUUGAAAUUACAAAUAAACUUGCUCUUUACCACAGAUAAUUUGAGGAACUCUUAUCUCAAAAGAUGAAGUGGGGCUUAAAAUGCAAAUCUAAAGACAUUUCAAGGAAACAAAAACAGGAAGGAGGUACAUGUUGAUUGGCGACAUCACAUUGAAGCAAAAGAGAUAAACUUGAUAUUCUAUCAGUUAGUAUUUUUUUUUUUUUGAGGAAGAUUAGCCCUGAGUUAACUGCUGCCAGUUCUCCUCUUUUUGCUGAGGAUGACUGGUCCUGAGCUAACAUCCGUGUCCAUCUUCCUCUACUUUAUAUGUGGGACGCCUACCACAGCAUGGCUCACCAAGCGGUGCCAUGUCCGCACCCGGGAUCCGAACCAGCGAACCCCGGGCCACCGAAGCAGAUCGUGUGCACUUAACCACUGCGCCACCAGGCAGGCCCCUCAGUUGGUAUUGUUUAGUGACAAAAAUUGGCAAACUCAAAUAACUUUGACUCAACAAGAAAUAGCUUUCCCUCUCUCUCUGUAAGAAUUCUGGAGGUCAGCCAUCCAGGGCAGGUCAGGCGAGUCCUUCUUCACCAUCCUUAGAUUGAGGUCUAUAUUCUCAAGGAGGAAGAAUGGAAAGACAACAAGUUGUCUGCCUCCCAGCUGAAUUAGCCCCUUUAAAAAAAUAAUUUUCUGUGAUCACCACCUCAGAAAUUCUGCUUUUAUCUCAAUGGUUGAAAGAGCCUAAAAUGGAAUCUGAGAAGUAUACUUUUACAGAUGGGCACAUCCUUGUCCCUGACUUUACAGGAACAGAGUCCUAAGGAAGAACAGGGCAAGGGACAAUGAGUAGAUAACUUUCAGCCUUGACUUUUCGAAUGGUCCCCAUCACUACUAUUGUGACUAGGUUCUUCCCGCUUCUAGACGAAACUAGAACUAGAAACUCUGCUUCCUGUCAGCUUCUCCUCCAUUUUUGACCAACUCAGGAAAUGGCCCUAGAUUUCAUUUGCUUCAAUCAAAAUUCAGGAAGUUGUGUUUAGCACUAUUCAGCAUAUAAGAAAAAGUUAUGACUCAGAAAAUUUCUUCACAGCUGUUCCAUGUGGUAGAAAUUAUUUCUUUUCCCUUCUACUACAUUUUAACUGGAGUUGAACUCUCCAACUGGAGUUAAAAAUUGCCUUGCUUAGUUGGCUAUAUGCCUAUCAAUUAUUCACAAUAACUUCCUUCCAUAAGUGUAAAUCUUCUUUCAAUACAUCCAAACACAUCGGGUGUGAUGUUGUCACGUUCUUGUGGCCAUCUCCCCGGAGCCCUCGGAUUGUCUCUUCAGUCAGGAACAGAAAGGUCAGCUGCACAGCUGUUGCCCUGAGAUUUUGUAUUCUAUAACCUUCUUUCUCUUGUGCUGAGCUCCCUCUUUCUUGGUUUCCAUUUAUUACUGUUUUCUGUUUCACUACUUCACUUUGGGGAGACCGCUCUUUCAAUAAUUUCCUGAGAAAUAGUCAAGGGAAAUCAAUUUUUUGAGGUCUUCCUUGUCUGAAAAACUUUGUUGUUCUAUCAUCAUAUGUAAGUGAUAUUUAUAUUUAGUAUAGAUUUAUAGGAUAGAAAUAAACUUUCCUCAAGUUUUGAAGGCAUAUUUCCAAUUUGGGAUUAAACUUCCAGGGCUGCAGGUAACCAUUUGGAUGCUAUUCAGAUUCCAUAUGCUUCGCAUGUGCCCUUAUUUUCUUUGUCUCUCUCUAAAACACUUUAACGUCUUAUCUUUGUGCCCAGUGUUGUAACAUUUCCUGAUCAUAUGCCUUGCGGUAGGUAUUUGUGUCAUUAAUUGUGGUAGGCAUUUGACAGAUCUUUUCAACCAGAAAACUCAAAGCACUUGAGUCUGUAAAAAUUUUUUAAUUUAAUUGUUUUGCUGGGUGGAGUACUGUACGAUUUGGAAUUCUUAUUACAUUCAACCUGUAGAACUAAUCCUGUUGUAUUUUUAAACUUUUCUAUUUAUCAUAUUUUAAACUUAUGAUUUGCUUUAUCGGUGAUUUCCGCAACUUUAGCUUGUAAGCCAUCUGUUAUGUACUGAAUUGUGUCCCCCAAAAUUCCUAACCUCCAGUUGAAGUCCUAACCCCAAGUGCCCCAGACCAUGACUAUAUUUAGAGAUACAGUCUUUAAGGAGGCAAUUAAAUUGAAAUGAGAAUAUUAGGGUAGACCCUAAUAAGAAGAUGAAAUAGGAACACAGAUAGCUAAAGACAUACAGAGAGAAGACCAAGUGAAGACACAGAGAGAAGACAGCCAUCUACAAGCCAAGGAGAGAGGCCUCAGAAGAAAUCCAACCCUGUGUACACCUUGAUCUUGGACUUCUAGCCUCCAGAACUGCUCCUCACCAUCCCAGGCAACGAAGGUGUUGAUAACGUGUUGAUUUGAUAUUGAGAAGAAGCAACUAAGAAGAGCGGGAACUUCCGGAGAACAAUGUUAAAUCAGGAGACACUAUUCUCUGCCUACAUUAAUCAAAUGUCUAUAAAUUAAGGUGGUACACAUUGGAUGGCCAAGCUGGUCAUUAGUGAAAUGCAGUGGAUCCCUGACAUAAUGGUGAAAUUCAUCAAUAUAUGCAUUCCUGAGACUUCCCAACUCACUGUACUUUCUCUAAAAAGUCUUCAUGUUGACUCAUGAGGGCUCCAAUCUGAAAGCGUAAAUUACACUUUAAACUGGAAAACAAUUCAAAAUUGUUGUGAAAAACUGUAGACUUUGGAGUCAGUCAUGCCUGGUUUUAACUCCUGACUUUCCAGCUGGGACAACUCAUGAAGUUUUCUUGAGGCAACAGCAGAUCUUAAAGAUAACACACUAGUGCUUUUAACACAGUGCUGGCAAAUAUUAGCUGGCAGGGAAGUGGAGUUAUCGUAUGAUUGCUGUUAUUGUUUUGGUGGUUAUUUUGAUGAUUGUUAUCAUUUGAUUAGUUAGGGCCCCAGAAGCUGGGAAAAGGAGGAGUAAUAGCAAAUCAGCAAAACAUCAUCUUGUGAAGAAAGAAGUGGUGAAAUAACUAUGCCCUAAACAGUACAGAAAUAACUCCCUGGUUUGUGGGCUAAAGUUUGAAUUAUUAUAAUAUGUAUUAUUUCGAGACCCUGCACAAAAGCUCUGAUAAGUGCCUCCUCUCUUUUGUGGCUGAUAUGGAGGUGAUUAAGAAUAUUAUAAUCGUUAGCACUUUAGAUUUAUUCUAUUUAUUGUGGUAGGUAAAAUAAUGGCCCCCCCAAAAUAUCCAUUUCCUAAAUCUGAGAACCUGUAACUACAUUACCUUAUGUAGCUAAAGGGACUUUGCAGAUGUGAUUAGGGCUAUAAACCUUGAUAUGGGAAAAUAUCCUGUAUUAUUUGGAUAGGCCCAAUUUAAUCACAUGAGCUCUUAAAAGCAGAAGAUGGAGGCAGAAGAGCUGGUCAGAGAGAUGUAACACGAGAAGAACCUGAUCCAUCAUGGUUGGCUUGGGAGAUAGAGGAAAGGGGCCAAGAGCAAAGAGGGUGGGGAUGCCUCUAGUAAAUGGGAAAAGACCUUGGCUACCAGCUCAACAACUGCAAGGAACUGAAUCCCACCAACAUCCCAAAUGAGCAUCUUUUAGAACCUCCAGGAAGGAACACAGCCCUGCCAGAAGCUUCAAUUUUGUUCACUGACACUUAUGUUGGACCUCUGUUAAAAGAAUUAUAAAAUAAUAAAUUGUGUUGCCUAAGCUGAUAAAUUCAUGGUCAUUUGUUAUGGCAGAAAUAGAAAACUAAUAUAUCUAUGACUGAAAAAGAUUAUGUACAUAACUAAACACUGAUGUUCUUUAAUGCCAGAUUAUGAUUGCUGAUCUAUAUACCUUGAAGUUAUAUUUAUUGGAGGAUAAAUCUUGAGAGUGUUAAUAUGCACAUAACCAAAAUAAAAAUUUUACUGGACAUAUGUUUCAAUAUUUGGGAUACAAAAAUACCAAUAUAUUUUUUAGCAAUAAUGCAUAAUACAAUAC
rnacentral:lncRNA from 1 species